AGUUUGUGCAGAGAAAAAACAAAAUUUCUAGUACGAUUUUCAGAUUUGAUCAAAAUUUUGCAUAUAUCUGCUGGUAUGCAGAUGUAUAGUAGUGUAUAAAAUCAUAUAUAUUUAUUUUGGUAUUAUAUAAAACUUUACUCAAUAUCAAUGUCGGCUAUAAAGUAUGUGCUAUUCGGUUUUGCAGCUUGUCAAGCGUUUGUUAUGGUUGGAGAAUACUUUUUGGAUCGUGAAUUUGAAAGGCGCCGAAAUGUGAGGAGGGCAAGACAGCUGAUCUACGUCAGGCUUAUACACAGAAGAGCACUUAGUGCCCCAAUGGCUGCGUAUGCUUUAGCUGUUGCACAAAUGUUAUCCCAACCAUAACUCCCGGGAGAAUGAUGAUUGGUUUGUGGUUUGAUGUCAAUAAAUUUUACGUUUUGUCCAUUUCAAGGUAGGCUUGAAACCAAAAAUCUAAAACGGUCUAGUUACUUUUGGUAACUCUACCGAUAGUAUGCCGUCAGUGAACCUAUUCAAAACCAUUUUGGGGUAGGCUUAUUUAAGGAAUCAAAACGCCUAUUGAGAUUAUGAAGUGUUAGAUUCGUCUAGGUCCCUUUCAAGGAGGAAACUGUUUUAAUUGGUACCGACAGAGUUCUUGGAAAUAAUGGGUUAUCACAUUUAAAGCUAUGGACUUUAUCAGUCAAGUCAUCUUUAACAUUGUACGCUUUAUGUGCUCUCAAAAUCUUCUAAACCACUUACCGCAUGCAACAAUUAUGCGGAAUGAAAGCUUAGUCAAGCCUUUAACUUUUCACAUUUAAACUUGCAAAGAUCAAACGCUUCUAACAUACAGGCGUACAUGAGAUAUAGAUGAAAGCAACAAUGACUUGCAUUUCAUGAACUUAAAUGAGCAAUUCACGAAUAACCCCGCGUACAUCCAAACAACGCAUAACUUAACGUAGUGUGCACUGGAACAGUUUAUUUGCCUUCCUAAUUCCGCUUUCUCUCCGCAAAUGGUGAAAUGCACAUAGUUUAUUAAGCGCUCAAACAACCAAACGACCAAAUGACCGAAAGACCAAAUGACCGAUAGACCAACCGGGCAACUUAACAAGUAUGCUAUGCGGUAACUUGUCCAACAACAGUCAAAUGAGCUGCACUACUUUAGUCGGAUGUAAGCUAAGCACUUAGCCUGUGGUAAGUAAACGCAGCCAAUAGCAAAAUCCGUACGAGAAUUUCAUUUUCGGAAUUAUCGCAUUUAUAUUGCGUAUUAAGCGAUUAUGUCGUGUGACUACGUAUUUAAUACGGAUUGCAGCUGCAAGAGAGUGACUUAAGUCCAUGUCGGUUGCUUCUUGAAUUUAAUGCAGAUGAUAAUGCUUUAUUCCAUCAAUCAAAGUAUAAAAAAAAAAAGGAAUUCAUGAAAACUCUAUCGUAUUUAUUUAAGCACAUAUCAUUUCACCAGCAGGGACAGAGAAAUAUUAGUUUAUGAUGUUUCACAUAUCCAAGAGUACUAGAAAUUAUAAUUGCCAAGCCAAAAAAAUGUAAGCAUAAAGAUUAAUUUAAGUAUUCCAAAAAAAAAUUAAAGCCAAACGCUGCGGAACCUCACUUAACCCAUGUUGAUGUCAGCACUUGUCUAUUUCUGCGUGUCUCAGAUGUAACUCGAAGCUGUUGAACAAACGCAACUCCUUCAAUUAGUGCGGAGCAAUUGAUAACGAAUGAUCAAAAAAGUGCCCUCUAUUCUUAAUUUUAAUCAAGCACAAGCAAAUAAAAAUUAUCAGAAAAAAUCUAUUUUUUAAAAAAAAUAAUA